rnacentral:rRNA from 1 species
GAUGAACGCUGGCGGCGUGCCUAAUACAUGCAAGUCGAGCGAACAGACGAGGAGCUUGCUCCUCUGACGUUAGCGGCGGACGGGUGAGUAACACGUGGAUAACCUACCUAUAAGACUGGGAUAACUUCGGGAAACCGGAGCUAAUACCGGAUAAUAUAUUGAACCGCAUGGUUCAAUAGUGAAAGACGGUUUUGCUGUCACUUAUAGAUGGAUCCGCGCCGCAUUAGCUAGUUGGUAAGGUAACGGCCUACCAAGGCAACGAUGCGUAGCCGACCUGAGAGGGUGAUCGGCCACACUGGAACUGAGACACGGUCCAGACUCCUACGGGAGGCAGCAGUAGGGAAUCUUCCGCAAUGGGCGAAAGCCUGACGGAGCCACGCCGCGUGAGUGAUGAAGGUCUUCGGAUCGUAAAACUCUGUUAUUAGGGAAGAACAAAUGUGUAAGUAACUAUGCACGUCUUGACGGUACCUAAUCAGAAAGCCACGGCUAACUACGUG